rnacentral:tRNA from 1 species
UUCUAAUAUGGCAGACUAGUGCAAUGGAUUUAAAUCCCAUAUAUAAAAGGUAUACUUUUUUUUAGAA